rnacentral:rRNA from 1 species
UACGAAGGGGGCUAGCGUUGCUCGGAAUCACUGGGCGUAAAGCGCACGUAGGCGGAUUGUUAAGUCAGGGGUGAAAUCCUGGAGCUCAACUCCAGAACUGCCUUUGAUACUGGCGAUCUCGAGUCCGGGAGAGGUGAGUGGAACUGCGAGUGUAGAGGUGAAAUUCGUAGAUAUUCGCAAGAACACCAGUGGCGAAGGCGGCUCACUGGCCCGGUACUGACGCUGAGGUGCGAAAGCGUGGGGAGCAAAGCAGGAUUAAGAAA